GAAUGGUCGGAUGAAAAAUAAGCUGUCUUUUCUAUAAUUGUAAAAUUUAACUUUUAAGUGAAAAGGCUUGAAUUAUUUAAAGGGACGAUAAGACCCUAUAAAACUUUAUAUAUAAAUAAAUAUAUUUACGUAUUGUGUUAAUAGGGGUAUGUUAUUUUAUAUUUUGUUGGGGCGACAUAGAUAUAUAAGUAAAUUAACUGUUUAUUAAAAUAAAAUAAUAAUAAUUAGUUUAUGAUCCUUUAGUGGGGAUUAAAAGAGUAAGUUACUUUAGGGAUAACAGCGUAAUUUUUUCUGAGAGUUCUUAUCGACGAAAGUAGUUGCGACCUCGAUGUUGAAUUAAAAUUUCAGUUAGGUGUAGCCGCUUAGCUAGUGGGUCUGUUCGACCUUUAAAAUUUUACAUGAUUUGAGUUCAAACCGGUGUAAGCCA
rnacentral:rRNA from 1 species